UACGGGGGGGGCAAGCGUUGUUCGGAAUUACUGGGCGUAAAGGGCUCGUAGGUGGCCAACUAAGUCAGACGUGAAAUCCCUCAGCUUAACUGGGGAACUGCGUCUGAUACUGGAUGGCUUGAGUUUGGGAGAGGGAUGCGGAAUUCCAGGUGUAGCGGUGAAAUGCGUAGAUAUCUGGAGGAACACCGGUGGCGAAGGCGGCAUCCUGGACGAUGACUGACGCUGAGACGCGAAAGCGUGGGGAGCAAACAGG
rnacentral:rRNA from 1 species